rnacentral:rRNA from 1 species
UUGAAUAAUACCCCAUACGAUCUGAUUCACUCCUGUGAAACAGAAGAAAAUUCCGAUGGUAAAAGAUGGGCAUGCGUCCUAUUAGUUUGUUGGUGAGGUAACGGCUCACCAAGACUACGAUAGGUAGGGGUCCUGAGAGGGAGAUCCCCCACACUGGUACUGAGACACGGACCAGACUCCUACGGGAGGCAGCAGUGAGGAAUAUUGGACAAUGGAGGCAACUCUGAUCCAGCCAUGCCGCGUGCAGGAAGACGGCCCUAUGGGUUGUAAACUGCUUUUAUACAGGAAGAAACGUUAGUACGUGUACUAGCCUGACGGUACUGUAAGAAUAAGGAUCGGCUAACUCCGUG